rnacentral:misc_RNA from 1 species
CGCACCUUGCGCCUUUUGGUAUUCCGAAAGGCAUGCCUGUUUGAGUGUCAUGUAGACUCAACCCCAUGGGUUCUUCCCAUGGACGUUGGAUUUGGGCCCUGCCUGUUUGGCUGGCCUUGAAUGUGUUAGUGGCUUUUCCCACAGACGUUGUAAGCACUCGUCGACCGGAGGCCGCUCAUAACCCCCCCACUCUAUUUUGACUCUGACCUCAAAUCAGGUAGGGCUACCCGCUGAACUUAA